UUAGUUCCCCAUUCAAUCAUUCACACUUUCAUAUGUCUUUGUCCACAACAUGAAGUUGUUUAUUUGUGAUAUGGUCAACCCAUUUAUAGAUAUUUGGCAUUUAGGGACACCAACUUGUCAUUCAUUGGCAGGACCAAGCGAUCCACAAAGAAUUAAACAGACCUAUGUGCUCGAGCCACCCACGCCAUACAUUUACCAGGGCUGACCAUUGUAGGAGUGGGGUCACGUCCAAAGGGACCGGGAGGGACGCCCGUCAUUUCCAAUGUGCUGCCACUCACCUCAUAUGACAAUAUAGAGAGACACUCCAUCCCAUCUAAUGUUUGACGACCCCAAAGGCAGGUCAGUCUGCGAGCACUGCUUCCUUCGUCUGUGAUUAAAACCUUCGUCAGAAGCGCCCUGAGCAUGGCGUAGUCCUCCAGUUUUGAGUCCCACACAUUAGGCAGCUGUAACUACAUUAUUGAGUAAUUACUUUCAAGGUCUCUGUGUUUUUUCGCGUUGUCAAGCCACAAUGAUGGAUGAGUGCGAAUAUCAGUAAUACUGUGUCUCUCAGGGUGAGAUUCUCCUGAGAAAUUUGAUGAACCUAAUAAAGGCUGCCAGAAAAACUAUAAAAGUCUCAAUAAAUAAAUAAUUCCGAUACUCAUCGCAGUUCCAAAGAAGACACAAAUAACAGUCUUGAAGUUAAUGCAAGUGAGUUGUAUCCUCAAGCUUUAGAUGACAGUUAUUGAUGUCAAGUGAUUAGGAGUGGACAAUAGGAUAUUUAGGAUGCAUAAAACUCAUUUGCAUGCAUGUAAACAAUUUAAAAAGCUGCCAAACAGACUGGCUGCACAGCGGACAGGUGUACUUAGACAGCAGUUAGUAAAAAAACAGUGGUCAAGAGCAUUAAAAUAGCAGUCAGAUGGGACCUAGAAUGGACUUCCACACGCAACUGUGGCCCCCAUGUCAGUUUUUUCUUGAGGCUCUGAAACACUCUCUACUCUCAUCAAAAGUGGUAAAAGUUUGAACAAACUAAAUUCUAAUUCAAUGAACUAUGUUCAAAGUCUUUCUAAAAUAGCUCAGAUUGGCACAUAACCUCAUUCGUUAUAAUCUUGGCAACCAUAAAUGUCCACAACAAAAAUUUAAAAGUAUAAAUAGUAUAAGUAAAGUAUAAAAGGUUUAAAAUAUAAAUAAUUCCUAUACUCAUCCUAAAGAAGUUCUAAAGAAGACACAGUGCAAAAUAAUUCUUGAAGUUGAUGUAAGUGAAUUGUUUCUUCAAGCUUAGAUGACAGUUAUUGAUGUCAUAUGAUUAUGAGUGGACAAAAGGUUAUUAAGCAUGCAUAAAAACUCAUUUGCAUGCAUGUAAACAAUUGGAAAAGCUGCCAAACAGACUGGCAGAGCAGCAGGCAGGUGUAUCAGACAGCAGUUGGUAAAACAGUGGUCAAGGGCAUUACAAUAGCAGUCCGAAUGGACUUCCACACACAUUUGUGGCCCCCAUGUUAUUUUUUUCUCGAGGCUUUGAAACAUUCCCUACCGCCAUCAAAACCAGAGAUCCAAGCUAUUGAAAUGGAGUGCUUGGAGUGAAAGAGUAUGUUUUCACCCUGCCGAUAUUUGUUCAGGCAAUACCCAGUUUAUUCAGGAACACAAUUCUCAUUUCCUGGCCCUUUCUGUGGGGACAAAGUUUCCAUCUAAAAGCUUCAUGUAGUGCAUUGCAGAAAAAAAAGCAAAGCAUUCUGGCUUCAUGCUGUUGGUUAGACAGCUGGUUAGUGGGAGAGGGUGAGACGGCUAAGUUCUCACUGCAGAUGACUCGAUGGGCUUCCAUCCGAGAGUGUCCAUGGAGAUGACACCCAAUUUCUUGUUCAACAACAACCUGGACGCAAGCUUUGGAUGUGUUUUGAUUCUUAGGUUCCCAAAUGUAACCUUGGUGAGUCAGUUUAAAUAUUCUAAUUUGAGUCUAAGUCUGAACUAUUUAGCAACAAUCUUUUGAGUUUCCUUCUAGCAUAAGGCAACACAUGCUGGAGGUUGAGGCUUGGAAGCAAACAGAUGGGCCAAGAUGAGAUGAUUUCAAUCAAAAUACAAGAUCUCUUCCAUCUGGGCUCUCACGGCACUUUGAAGAUAAAGUGUAAUGUGACUAUGUGAAGGCUUUCUUUCAUUUACUGCACCUCUGCCAGCUGGAGAUGGAGACUGUGGAAUUAAAUGGAAAUAUUGUCAGAUUUGAAUUUAAGACAAGAAAAUUCUCAGACAAACAUGGAACGGUUUGGGAGUUGGAUGUCAGACUUUGGAUAUUAUGGAGGUGCUUUUGCUGGGAGGCCCAGACCCUGACAUGGAACCGGUCUCAUUAAAACUCACAUCAUGGUGUGAGUUCAAACCUUAAUGGAUCAGUCAAAAGCACCUCACACACUGUCACCGUAAUGGCUCCUCUCUCUCACGAGAAUUUUGAUCCAUGCAGAGGCUCGAUAAAUCCCACUCGCAGUGCGGCUGUGGUUGAAAGAAAAUAAAAAAGAAGCAGGUGAGAGACUGUCACACCUUUACAAUUUCACUGCAUUCUUCUGACUUCUGUCCUCUACCGUUGGUGCUCUUUCAACUCAGAGAUGUUAACUGAUGGGCUGGAGUGGUGUGGAUUACUUGUGAUCUUUUUAUCGGCUGCUUGGACUCUCAUUCUGACGGCACCCAUUCACUGCAGAGGAUCCAUUGGUGAACAAGUGAUGUAAUGCUGAAUUUCUCCAAAUCUGUUCUGAUGAAGAAACUCAUCUACGUCUUGGAUGGCCUGAGGUAUGCAUGUGGAGCUGCAGACUCCGACACGGAGGAUAUGAUACGGAGGAGAGGACUCGCUGUGACCUUCAUCAGGGAGCCAGAGUAGAUUAUUGGCUUAAUCAAUAGCUGCAAGCUGUUAUGCCAGUCUUUCAGCAGAGGAAGACUAAACCGAGAAUAAACUGCAGUGAGGACCAGACUUUAUUCUGCACAUCAGAAGUCUGACUACGCAAGAGUGGGUCAGAGAACCGCAUCCACGCAUACACACAGAGGACAGGAAGAGGACAAACCCGGAGUAUUAGCGUCAUUCACAGGACCACAAUACUAAUGCAUUUGAGGGCUUCUACACUAGAUUACAAAUUCCCUCAGCCUGUCAACAAAAGCACCUGCUCGCCGCUGGACGUUAAUUUGUUUUGACAUGCUUUAUAAUUUAAUUCCAACACAGAAUUAACUUCCAAUACCAAAAGCUAUUAGCCGGGGAAAUGGGGACGGCGGACUCCCGUGUGCUCGGUCCCAGGUGAGCUGGUUUCCUUUAACACCAGCGUUCCUGAAUUGCUUUCAUUGUGCUGUGGAGAAGCUCAAAGCUAAUGCAGUUCUUUGAAGAGCCUGGAUUGACUCGCUGGCAAGGCCGCAGAACUGCCUCUCCCUACAUGAGUCGACAGCUUAUUCUGUCUCCCAUCUAACGAUGUUAGGGAAUCAAAGGAGAAGCCUCCGCUGUUGAUUUUGGAGAGCCUGUGUGUGCUAAUAUACGUUUGAUUAAGUUCCGGAUGCGUUGGGGUCGGGUCGAGGGCAGCCUCUCCACUGCACGCUUUUAUGUCACGAUGCUGAUUACAAAAUUUAUUAAGGGUCAAUUAAAAUCAAGCUCUAUGAUUGGUCAUCAUGCCACACUAAAAAAAAAAAAAAAAAAAAAAACAGACUGAUGCAUGCACAAACUAUCUAUCUAUCUAUCUAUCUAUCUAUCUAUCUAUCUAUCUAUCUAUCUAUCUAUCUAUCUAUCUAUCUAUCUAUUUAUCUAUCUAUCAUAUAUUAGUUCAUUUGUUUGUCUAUACAAUGCCAAUCUCCAUGCAUACCCCGAAAUCACAAACACUUGACACAUCAAUACAAACAUCACCAACAAGAACAAGAUCCCCGAAGUAUUUCUUACGCAAAUCCUCAUACAAGGAGCAAUCAUACAAAAAAUGCUUCUCAUCUUCUGUCACAGAAAUAUUUGAUGUUAACUUACAAUAACUACAGAUUCUCUCUGCCAUUGGUGUAUUAUCUAUCUAUCUAUCUAUCUGUCUAUCAUAUAUUAGUUAAUUUGUUUGUCUAUUCUAUCUAACCUUUUUUCAUUUAGUUUGUUCUGUCUAUCUGUCAGUCUGUCUGUAUAUCUAUUGUUAUAUAUAUAUAUAGAGAGAGAGAGAUCUUUUUGUUUGUCUAUCUUUGUCUCUUUUUGUUUGUCUAUUGUUACCUAUCUAUCUAUCUAUUCGUCCAUUUGUCUAUCUAGGAGGGAAGGAAAACUCACAAAUAAGAUCUGUUUAAUAUCUCGGUGGUUGUAAUUAAAUUAGUCAUUUGCUGAGGUUGCUCCUCAGAUGUUUAUUGAGAAACAGACUCAUAUGUAAAUCUCACGUCUCCUCUAGGGUUCUAGCAAUUUCUUGAUCUGCAUUCAGAUGCGCAAAUAUACCUUCAGUCAAGAUUUUAAUAUGCACAUGAAAUUCUUCCAAGACCAAAUGUUCUGAGCAGCUAUUCUCAUUUAUUUUAUACCUCUAUAUUCUUACUGUAUAUGAGCUCAAACGAGGCACAUCCCAUCAGGAUUUAGAGUUAGAAUGACUUGUUUGCUUUGUUGGUUCUUGCAUGUAUCAAGAAUGCAGCAUAUUUGAACAUGCAAAAACACAUGUGAGAUUCAACCUGGACAAUCUGCCAUAUUAUUUGCUGGUAUUUACCCCUUUCAAGCCCUACGGUGCAUAAACAUGAAAAGACAUUAGCAGUUAACAUUAUUGAUUGUGUUUUUAGUCUGUGUAAUAAAACGUGUUUGUAUUUUCGCACCAGCAACCGCAAGAGCACUCACAACCAUGGCAACAGACGAGCAGACCGCGUGAGAGGAUGGUCUGAUGUCAGUGAAGGAACGACAGGUGAAAGAGAGGUUCUGCCCUUUGAUUAAGAUCACAUCAAGGGUGCAGAUGUGAAAUGGCUAUUGAUUGGUUCCCUCUCUAUCUUCUUCUGCCGUGAUGAACAGAGAACACAAUCACAGUGGGCGAAGUGGUCUUAGAGUGGCACUGGCACUUUAUUCGCAGCUGUCCGUCAGCCGUGUUGUGUUAUCUUUGGUGAUAGAGAGUCUGGCCUCUCUUACCUCCUUUUCCCUCACAGUCAUAUGACAUCAUAAUGGCUGAAGAUGGAGGCUGUUAGUGCUAAUUUAUGAGCCUAUUAUCAAGACUCUGUGGGGACCUUAACAAAUAUCUAACACAUCAACAGCGGGUGACAAUGUAAGAAAAAAAUUAACACAUCAGACGUGGGGAAUUUUAACAAGCUGGCUUGUUAAAUGCAUGUUAUAUGUUUCAGGAAAAAAAAAUCAAUAAAUAGGCCCAGAUUUAAUAUUACAUAAUGUGACAAAUUGUGUUUAUAGGAAAAGUCAUUGAACAAUCUCAAACUGAAUUAAAAAUAGAUCAUUCAAUGGACAAAUAUAAUUUGUCCAUACAAUGUUAUUGUCAUCAUUAUGUGUCAAAGGUGUCACCGCUGAAUGUUUAUUAAUACAUUUGUAUCAUUUUUAUAGCAUUUAAAAAUAAUUGUUUUGUAACAAUUGUGCAUAAAAGAUGUGCAGGUGAUGGAAGCGAGAUUCAAAAAGGUUCAAAAGAUUCAAACCGGAAGUAAAACUUGUUAAUAGUUUGUUAAAUAUAAUAUAAAUAUGCAAAAAAAAAUUUAAAAAAGCCAGCAUACUAUGAAGGUGAAAAAAAGCAAGUGCAAGAUAAAAGAGAAUUAUCUACAAGUACAGGUGCAUUUCAAU